rnacentral:rRNA from 1 species
GACGAACGCUGGCGGCGUGCCUAAUACAUGCAAGUCGAACGAACCGCGACUAAGUGCUUGCACUCAGUCAAGGUGAGUGGCGAACGGGUGAGUAACACGUGGGUAACCUACCUCAUAGUGGGGGAUAACAGUCGGAAACGACUGCUAAUACCGCAUAGGACAUAGGAUCACAUGAUCCAGUGAGGAAAGGUGGCGCAAGCUAUCGCUAAGAGAUGGACCCGCGGUGCAUUAGCUAGUUGGUAGGGUAAAGGCCUACCAAGGCGAUGAUGCAUAGCCGACCUGAGAGGGUGAUCGGCCACAUUGGGACUGAGACACGGCCCAAACUCCUACGGGAGGCAGCAGUAGGGAAUCUUCCGCAAUGGACGCAAGUCUGACGGAGCAACGCCGCGUGAGUGAAGAGGGUCUUCGGAUCGUAAAGCUCUGUUGUUAGAGAAGAACAGCGCAUAGAGUAACUGCUAUGCGUGUGACGGUAUCUAACCAGAAAGCCACGGCUAACUACGUG